rnacentral:tRNA from 1 species
GCCAGGAUGGCUGAGUGGUUAAAGCGCGGCGCUCGAGACGCCGUAUCAGAAAUGAUACGCAGGUUCAAAUCCUGCUCCUGGCG